UUUCAGUAUAAUCUUUAACUCAAGAACACUAUUUUCCAUUGUCAGUCUCUUGACACAUUUGAAAAAUUAUUAGCUCUCGUUCAUUUAAACCAAACAUUUUUAGACAUUUGCCUUUGUUCAUAUUUUUCAUAACAAGUCUUAGAGCAAAAUCGUCAUGCUUAUUACUGUCAAAACUGAAAGCCUAAUUUCAUAUUAUUUUAUAUAGCCGAAUACUUAAAAUUCAAACAAUUGCUACAGAUUUUAGAAAGUGGCGACAGGAAUAGUAUUAAUUUUCAAAAAUGUGGCUACAACUUUAUUAGGCCCAAGGGAAGUCCUGAACCGUAAUAAUUUAGGUGAAACACUAUUUUCAAGCCUCGAUCAUUUGAUAAUUCAAGCUAUAAUAUCUUGUACGCACCCAGAAUGAUAUGCUUGAUAAUGGUUUUCGCGAUAUGACAUAUUGUGUGCUCAAGAGAGUAAGUCAAGCACUCAUGAUUUUAUUUCAAGUUCACAAGAUAAAUUGUUGUGCCCGCAAUACAAUAAUAUACUUAUUAUUAUAUAUCUAUUUUAUCUAUCCAAUCGCGAACGUUCAUUUACAUUACGUGAUCGCUCAAUAAAUUACGGUAUUUGGACGCACGUGCGUACAAAAAUUCCUGUAUUUUCUGUAUUUGGACGCACGUGCGUACAAAAAAUCCUGUAUUUUCUGUAUUUGGACGGUUCAGCAGUCCCAUGCUAAGCAUACGAUAAAGCCCGAAACGCGUGAAAAUGUUCAGAACGUAAAUCGUAGGCGCUCUAUGUACAGAGUUUGAUUAUUCGUCAUGAAAGCAGGAUUUAAUUGUCGUUUGUUUGUUUACAAAACAACACACACGAUGGCGGUGCUAUCUGAUUAAGAUAUUAACACGUUUGUUAAUAAUAAAAAACCUAGAAAUACAGUACAAAAUAAACAUCCUCAGAUGUUGGAAUAUUUAAAAAGUGGAUAAAAGAUUGAAGCAGUUCCGCACGAAACUAAGAAACUGGAAGAUAUCAGCCCUGACUGUCUGUAUAGCUACCUCAGAAGAUUUUAUUUAACAGUCAAGAAACAAAAUGGUGAAGAUUAUUAACCAGACAGCCUUAUUGGAAUCAAUAACAGUAUAGACAGAUAUUUGUCUGAUAAAAAAUACCCUACAAGUAUAUGCAAGGGAGAGGAAAUCAAGUCGUGUAGGAGUGUUUUACUGGCUAAGGGAAAACAGUUGAAAAACAGAUGGAAUGGACAGAAAACCUAACAGAGCAGAACAAGUUUCGGAAGAAGAAAAAGAAGAGGUAUUCCUAAAUAGAAAUUAUAUAGAUCUAGAUAUAUACAGAUAUAAUUGAAAGAAAUUUCUCGUACUUUUCUCAAUGUUUUAAACAUAUUGGGGUCAUCAUGGUAAGUCACAAGAAACAGAAGUAGAUCUAAUUCUUUAAUCCUGGGAAAAGUACGAUCGAUAAAUAGUUAAUCGGAAAUUGUUGAUUGUUUUUCUCGGCACUGGUGACUAAAAAAUAAACUUGAUAUUUUCUUCUUUAGUUUCCUGUCACUUAUCAUGUAGAUCUUAUAUAAAACAAUAAGAAAAAGAUGAAAAUAAAUUUUUGAAAUCAUCUCCCAUUUUCAAACAUAAUUUGUAGUCUCCUAACGCUUCGUUUUUAGAUAACGUUCUCAGUGUUCUUAUUGAUUACCGCACCUCUAGUCCGGGUUGUCUAGAGGUCCGGUUACCGUACCACUUUUGAAUACAGGUUGGGGACCACUUUAAGAGAAGCGGUGGUGUACAGGAUAAGGUGUUGGUCGCUCAUCUGUGAAGUGUCGGUUCCAGCCCUACUGGGUUGUGUCGUACACCUGUACUGGUUUUUACAGAAAGCGGACUAGAAUGACCCAAUCAGUUAAUAGCGUACUUCGCAACCAAGCUAAAAUAAAUUAGUUUAAUAAACAAAACUAAAACUUGUGACACUUAUUACGAUAGCUGUACCGACUGAGGUAAAAAGAUAUAUAAACGGGCUGAACAAACAAAGUCAGAAGUUAAUAGUCUAUAAAUGCAAAGUGGAAAUAUAAUAUAUUUAUAAUUAUGAUAUUUUUUGAUUGAACAUUAUUUUAGUACACUGUAUAUGUAUAUUGUUUUUAGUGCAGUAGUAAAUAACAUAGUACAUGUGUAACUAAAAAGAUAUUUACUGUGUUUCAGUUUGCGUCUUCUUCAGGACAAAUGAAAUAGAAUCAUUCAUAUAUUUUUCAGACACUGUGGUAACGUGGUAUAAUGGGCUCAUCCUCCCCUAUGGCUUUGCUGCUUGCAAUCUGGUAGAGAAAUAACAUUUUGGGGUUAAGAGGGCGUGACGAACACCAUAAAUUGAGAUGGGGCGAUGUGACAAUACUUAAGGAAGUUGAUGGUGCCAGAUUCAUGCAGAGACCUGUCCUGUGAAUUUGCUGAUAGAGUACACACACAGGCGACCGUUGACAAUGUGCAUGCCAGAUAGCCCAUUUUAUCUGCAGAUACACUAGCAUUGAGAAAAACCUGGACCAUCAGGCUCAGUUGCACAAGGCUGGUUCAAGAACCAGCUUAUGGGAGUUCAAAGCCUUGGAAGACUAACCACUCGGGGAGGAAGACAACACUUAAACGCCUAAAAGAAGCAAACUUUGACAAUGUAGACAUAAUACAGUCAACUGGUCGCAAAAAUGUACAGUCACUAACUCUUAACAUCAGCAUGAACAGUUGCGUCUAGUACAGCCACGUCCAGUGCAGUUGCGUUUUGCAUAGAGUCUGAGAGUAUAGAAUUUUCAGAAAUUCUUCCUCAAGGAAUGGAAGAGAUACUCAACACUUGAGCAGUUUGAAAAGUUUCAAACUCUUUAAACUAAUUCCAAGGAAAUUGUGACAAAUCAGGAAAUUCACU